rnacentral:rRNA from 1 species
GGAUUAGAUACCCUGGUAGUCCACGCCGUAAACGAUGUCUACUAGCCGUUGGGGUACUUGAGACCUUGGUGGCGCAGUUAACGCGAUAAGUAGACCGCCUGGGGAGUACGGCCGCAAGGUUAAAACUCAAAUGAAUUGACGGGGGCCCGCACAAGCGGUGGAGCAUGUGGUUUAAUUCGAUGCAACGCGAAGAACCUUACCAGGCCUUGACAUCCUUGGAAUCCUGCAGAGAUGCGGGAGUGCCUUCGGGAAUCAAGUGACAGGUGCUGCAUGGCUGUCGUCAGCUCGUGCCG